AUUGAAGACUGUUGCCUUCUGGGUACCUCAGCUUAAUAAUUUGCUGGAGGAACAGGCUUAUCCUACCCAUGUCCACUUGCCCUCAUCCUACCUGGACUGCUUCAUCUCUGUCAACCCAAAUCGAGAGGCUGUUGAAAAGGUCUUUAGUAUGAUCCCAAGUUUCUACUGGCAAACUCUGGAAACAGAAGAUCAAAAAUGUCAAAGCGCAGAAGUCACAAUUUCUCAAGAGUGUCAUACUGAGACAGCACUUGUUCUGAUAGGCAGUGCACUGUUUCUUAACCCAUUGGCAAUGCAUCACACACUUGAGCUUAUGUGGAGAUCAAGUCUAGAUGUAUGUGGUAUCCGCUUCCUCUAUCCGCCCCAAGAGCUCCUGACAAACUUUGCAGUCAGCAAGUCAGUUAUGCAUGAAGGGGAACAUUCUCAUCAGCCAGUGCUCAUCAUGGCUUUCCGGGGUCCUCACGCUAACUCAGUGUGGCAGGAGAUCACAGGGCCAUCAGACCCCCAGCUGGCAAGGCGGACAGAUCCGGCAUCCAUCAACGCCCUGUACGGUCACAGUCAAGACCAGCCCCUACUCUACUCACCCCAUCUUGCCAGUCUUGUGCAUCUGGGGCUCUGCUUGUGGUUUGGUGGUAGAAUAGCAAAAAACAGCCUGUCAACGAUCCAGGACUCUGGUAACAAAGGAGUCAGAUGUUCCCAUGUUCUGACCUCUUCUCCAGCAAGUGUAUGUGCCACAGUGAAAGCGGAUAUCUUUCUCCUUGUGUCUCCUGUGGUUGGACCACGCUGUUACAGCUAUAUACUAUCUGCAUGUGCAAAAACAGGCUUCAGUCUAUUGGGACUUCAAAGAGCGCAGAUCUCCAGGAAACAAGCUCAAUCUCUGGGACUCACCGCAAAGCAGGUAGCAGCAUUCUGUCACGCUCCCACAGUGUUUCUGGCUGGAGAACAGGUUGAGCUGUCCUCUCAUUGCCUGGUGCUGCUCAUGAGGAGAGAAAGUGCAGUUAGACACUGUUCCAGACUGCCGAUAGGUUUGAUGAAUGAGCUUGCUGCACAAGGCC
rnacentral:lncRNA from 1 species